UUAAGCGACUAAGCGUACACGGUGGAUGCCCUGGCAGUCAGAGGCGAUGAAGGACGUGCUAAUCUGCGAUAAGCGUCGGUAAGGUGAUAUGAACCGUUAUAACCGGCGAUUUCCGAAUGGGGAAACCCAGUGUGAUUCGUCACACUAUCAUUAACUGAAUCCAUAGGUUAAUGAGGCGAACCGGGGGAACUGAAACAUCUAAGUACCCCGAGGAAAAGAAAUCAACCGAGAUUCCCCCAGUAGCGGCGAGCGAACGGGGAGCAGCCCAGAGCCUGAAUCAGUGUGUGUGUUAGUGGAAGCGUCUGGAAAGGCGCGCGAUACAGGGUGACAGCCCCGUACACAAAAAUGCACAUGCUGUGAGCUCGAUGAGUAGGGCGGGACACGUGGUAUCCUGUCUGAAUAUGGGGGGACCAUCCUCCAAGGCUAAAUACUCCUGACUGACCGAUAGUGAACCAGUACCGUGAGGGAAAGGCGAAAAGAACCCCGGCGAGGGGAGUGAAAAAGAACCUGAAACCGUGUACGUACAAGCAGUGGGAGCACGCUUCGGCGUGUGACUGCGUACCUUUUGUAUAAUGGGUCAGCGACUUAUAUUCUGUAGCAAGGUUAACCGAAUAGGGGAGCCGAAGGGAAACCGAGUCUUAACUGGGCGUUAAGUUGCAGGGUAUAGACCCGAAACCCGGUGAUCUAGCCAUGGGCAGGUUGAAGGUUGGGUAACACUAACUGGAGGACCGAACCGACUAAUGUUGAAAAAUUAGCGGAUGACUUGUGGCUGGGGGUGAAAGGCCAAUCAAACCGGGAGAUAGCUGGUUCUCCCCGAAAGCUAUUUAGGUAGCGCCUCGUGAAUUCAUCUCCGGGGGUAGAGCACUGUUUCGGCAAGGGGGUCAUCCCGACUUACCAACCCGAUGCAAACUGCGAAUACCGGAGAAUGUUAUCACGGGAGACACACGGCGGGUGCUAACGUCCGUCGUGAAGAGGGAAACAACCCAGACCGCCAGCUAAGGUCCCAAAGUCAUGGUUAAGUGGGAAACGAUGUGGGAAGGCCCAGACAGCCAGGAUGUUGGCUUAGAAGCAGCCAUCAUUUAAAGAAAGCGUAAUAGCUCACUGGUCGAGUCGGCCUGCGCGGAAGAUGUAACGGGGCUAAACCAUGCACCGAAGCUGCGGCAGCGACGCUUAUGCGUUGUUGGGUAGGGGAGCGUUCUGUAAGCCUGUGAAGGUGUGCUGUGAGGCAUGCUGGAGGUAUCAGAAGUGCGAAUGCUGACAUAAGUAACGAUAAAGCGGGUGAAAAGCCCGCUCGCCGGAAGACCAAGGGUUCCUGUCCAACGUUAAUCGGGGCAGGGUGAGUCGACCCCUAAGGCGAGGCCGAAAGGCGUAGUCGAUGGGAAACAGGUUAAUAUUCCUGUACUUGGUGUUACUGCGAAGGGGGGACGGAGAAGGCUAUGUUGGCCGGGCGACGGUUGUCCCGGUUUAAGCGUGUAGGCUGGUUUUCCAGGCAAAUCCGGAAAAUCAAGGCUGAGGCGUGAUGACGAGGCACUACGGUGCUGAAGCAACAAAUGCCCUGCUUCCAGGAAAAGCCUCUAAGCAUCAGGUAACAUCAAAUCGUACCCCAAACCGACACAGGUGGUCAGGUAGAGAAUACCAAGGCGCUUGAGAGAACUCGGGUGAAGGAACUAGGCAAAAUGGUGCCGUAACUUCGGGAGAAGGCACGCUGAUAUGUAGGUGAAGUCCCUCGCGGAUGGAGCUGAAAUCAGUCGAAGAUACCAGCUGGCUGCAACUGUUUAUUAAAAACACAGCACUGUGCAAACACGAAAGUGGACGUAUACGGUGUGACGCCUGCCCGGUGCCGGAAGGUUAAUUGAUGGGGUUAGCGGUAACGCGAAGCUCUUGAUCGAAGCCCCGGUAAACGGCGGCCGUAACUAUAACGGUCCUAAGGUAGCGAAAUUCCUUGUCGGGUAAGUUCCGACCUGCACGAAUGGCGUAAUGAUGGCCAGGCUGUCUCCACCCGAGACUCAGUGAAAUUGAACUCGCUGUGAAGAUGCAGUGUACCCGCGGCAAGACGGAAAGACCCCGUGAACCUUUACUAUAGCUUGACACUGAACAUUGAGCCUUGAUGUGUAGGAUAGGUGGGAGGCUUUGAAGUGUGGACGCCAGUCUGCAUGGAGCCGACCUUGAAAUACCACCCUUUAAUGUUUGAUGUUCUAACGUUGACCCGUAAUCCGGGUUGCGGACAGUGUCUGGUGGGUAGUUUGACUGGGGCGGUCUCCUCCUAAAGAGUAACGGAGGAGCACGAAGGUUGGCUAAUCCUGGUCGGACAUCAGGAGGUUAGUGCAAUGGCAUAAGCCAGCUUGACUGCGAGCGUGACGGCGCGAGCAGGUGCGAAAGCAGGUCAUAGUGAUCCGGUGGUUCUGAAUGGAAGGGCCAUCGCUCAACGGAUAAAAGGUACUCCGGGGAUAACAGGCUGAUACCGCCCAAGAGUUCAUAUCGACGGCGGUGUUUGGCACCUCGAUGUCGGCUCAUCACAUCCUGGGGCUGAAGUAGGUCCCAAGGGUAUGGCUGUUCGCCAUUUAAAGUGGUACGCGAGCUGGGUUUAGAACGUCGUGAGACAGUUCGGUCCCUAUCUGCCGUGGGCGCUGGAGAACUGAGGGGGGCUGCUCCUAGUACGAGAGGACCGGAGUGGACGCAUCACUGGUGUUCGGGUUGUCAUGCCAAUGGCACUGCCCGGUAGCUAAAUGCGGAAGAGAUAAGUGCUGAAAGCAUCUAAGCACGAAACUUGCCCCGAGAUGAGUUCUCCCUGACUCCUUGAGAGUCCUGAAGGAACGUUGAAGACGACGACGUUGAUAGGCCGGGUGUGUAAGCGCAGCGAUGCGUUGAGCUAACCGGUACUAAUGAACCGUGAGGCUUAACCUU
rnacentral:rRNA from 1 species